ACUACAAGAAUGGAAGCAUGAAUGCAAGUUGAUUUGUUUCUUGUCUCCUGCAUAGCUUCAUGAAGAGAAUCCAGCCAGGACUGUGAAGCCCCGGGGAACGGCUGCACUUCAAGUCAGAAGGAGCCUGGGUCCCUGAAUCAUCAUGUAGAAGGCUCUCCACCCAACUCAAUGGUGCAAUGGACCACAAGCAAGAACUUAAUUUAGAAUGUCUGCUCAGACGGCUGUGCCCAAGCAGUCAGCGAGGGUCCUGGAUGUUUCUGGCUUCCAAUACAUGAGAGGCGUCCUGUUACUAGCAAUGAACCAGAGUCCUAGAGUCUGGAAAAGCACUUUAUAUCCUCAGCGAUCAGGUGAGAAAUGGCCAAUUGAUGGUGCUGGAAGGUGAAGAUGUUUAAUUAUUUCCAUGACGGUUUAUAUCAAUAUUUAACAGAAAUAUGCCAUGGCUCAUUUGAUGUGAAGUGCAUGGUAAAAUGAUGGAUUUUUUUUUCUUUUAAACUAUCUAAUAGUCUAUGAAUUUCCCCCCAGGAAAGAACUGUCCAGCCUAGCACUUAGCACAGUGUCUUGGCAGCAAGUAAGCAGAGCUGAUUGCUUGAAGGAAUGCAUGCUCUGUCCAAAGCCUCAUCAAUUAUCACCUAAUAAAUGUAAUAAGUUCUGUGAUGAAGACUCUUAAGUUCUGGUGUUGGCGGAGAAUGCAUUUCUAGAGUAAAUCUCAGGAUAUUCCUUCAGGGUAACAUGAGGUCCAACCCAUCUAUGCUUUUCUGCUCUCCUGGGAUCCAGUGAGACGUUCCCCUGGGGUGUGGAAAUCUAGGUUUCCUGGAUAUGGAAAGGUUUGGAGGGAAGGCUCCAAGGAAGAUCACUGGAGAAGAGUGGAGGGGGGCCACUCCAGAGGCCUGAGAUCAUGGCUAAGGGUGGUCCUGGAAAAUGCUCCUCUUAUCAAUCAUGGUAGCUACUACAGGAAUGGAUAUUUGGUGGGAGGAAAAGAAAGCAAGUGAAAAAAUUUGUGUUUACCUCUUCUAUGUGACUCCGAAGUUGAUCCAUAAUUGACAUCUGUGAAAAAGAGAAGCAAAGCACCUCCUCCUUUCGGGACCACCUUGAGAAAAAAAAAAAAAAGAGGUGUUUUUAGCUUCCUCUUCCCUGUUUUUCUUUUGUAUACAGUCUACCCUUCUCAUUGUAUAGAUGAGGAAACUGAGGAUCAGGGCAACAAAGUGACUUCCCAAAAUUAUCUAAUCAGUGCAGUGCUGGAGCUAAAAUCCAGGGCUCGCGACUCUGCAGACCACCAUUGUUUUUAUUACUUUCCCCUCUGUCUUCUACCUAGUCCUCUUUUCUCAGAG
rnacentral:lncRNA from 1 species